AUAUCAAUAAGCGGAGGAAAAGAAACCAACAGGGAUUGCCUCAGUAACGGCGAGUGAAGCGGCAACAGCUCAAAUUUGAAAUCUGGCCCCCAGGGUCCGAGUUGUAAUUUGUAGAGGAUGCUUUUGGUGAGGUGCCUUCCGAGUUCCCUGGAACGGGACGCCAUAGAGGGUGAGAGCCCCGUCUGGUUGGACACCGAGCCUCUGUAAAGCUCCUUCGACGAGUCGAGUAGUUUGGGAAUGCUGCUCUAAAUGGGAGGUAUAUGUCUUCUAAAGCUAAAUAUUGGCCAGAGACCGAUAGCGCACAAGUAGAGUGAUCGAAAGAUGAAAAGCACUUUGAAAAGAGGGUUAAAAAGUACGUGAAAUUGUUGAAAGGGAAGCGCUCAUGACCAGACUUGGGCUUGGCGAAUCAUCCAGCGUUCUCGCUGGUGCACUUCGCCUCGUUCAGGCCAGCAUCAGUUUGUCCCGGGGGAUAAAAGCUUCGGGAACGUGGCUGCUUCGGCAGUGUUAUAGCCCGCUGCAUAAUACCCUGGGGUGGACUGAGGUUCGCGCUCCGCAAGGAUGCUGGCGUAAUGGUCAUCAGCGACCCGUCUUGAAACACGGACCAAGGAGUCGUCUUCGUAUGCGAGUGUUCGGGUGUCAAACCCCUACGCGUAAUGAAAGUGAACGCAGGUGAGAGCUUCGGCGCAUCAUCGACCGAUCCUGAUGUUCUCGGAUGGAUUUGAGUAAGAGCAUACGGGGCCGGACCCGAAAGAAGGUGAACUAUGCCUGUAUAGGGUGAAGCCAGAGGAAACUCUGGUGGAGGCUCGCAGCGGUUCUGACGUGCAAAUCGAUCGUCAAAUAUGGGCAUGGGGGCGAAAGACUAAUCG
rnacentral:rRNA from 1 species